rnacentral:misc_RNA from 1 species
AAGUCGUAACAAGGUAUCCGUAGGUGAACCUGCGGAUGGAUCAUUAUUGAUGACUGGAUGAUUGUGAGUGAUUAUGAAUGAGAUGAGAGAGAGGGUUGGUUGGGUUCAACCAGCCAACUCCCUCACCGCUAAACUCUAUAAAUCUAAUACUUAAUAUUAACAACAAAAGAAACAACUUUUAGCAACGGAUCUCUUGGCUCUC